AUUGAACGCUGGCGGCAGGCUUAACACAUGCAAGUCGAGCGGGGGAGGUUGCUUCGGUAACUGACCUAGCGGCGGACGGGUGAGUAAUGCUUAGGAAUCUGCCUAUUAGUGGGGGACAACAUUCCGAAAGGAAUGCUAAUACCGCAUACGCCCUACGGGGGAAAGCAGGGGAUCUUCGGACCUUGCGCUAAUAGAUGAGCCUAAGUCGGAUUAGCUAGUUGGUGGGGUAAAGGCCUACCAAGGCGACGAUCUGUAGCGGGUCCGAGAGGAUGAUCCGCCACACUGGGACUGAGACACGGCCCAGACUCCUACGGGAGGCAGCAGUGGGGAAUAUUGGACAAUGGGCGGAAGCCUGAUCCAGCCAUGCCGCGUGUGUGAAGAAGGCCUUUUGGUUGUAAAGCACUUUAAGCGAGGAGGAGGCUCUUAAGGUUAAUACCCUUGAUGAGUGGAUGUUACUCGCAGAAUAAGCACCGGCUAACUCUGUGCCAGCCGCCGCAGUAACAC
rnacentral:rRNA from 1 species